ACAUGUUGGCUUUCUCUCAUGCCUUUCCACACGGUGUACAAUCGCGGGAUUGUGGCAUCACUGCAGAUCGGAAACCGGCGGGUUAGGACGUCAACAACAGCCAACAAAUUAUUAGAAAUGAAGACCAUUUGUGAAAUGAAGUUUUUCAGGUUCCUGGCCACAUAUGUUCUCAUGUAUUUUCGAACGGACUUUCUCUGACUGUUGACCGCGGAAAUCCGUGAACGAGGUUAUCAGAGAGCUGCGAUAAGAGAGGAAAACGGAGAGGAAGAGAAGCAGCCCGACGCGUGUGAAGGAAUGGAGUAAACCCCGGAGCAGAACCAGAGGAAGGAGGGAUGACUGCCGUGAGAUGAAAGAGGGAUAGAGCAGGUCACAGAACAACUCGAGAGACCAUUCAGCUGUGAAGAGACAGAAGAAGCCAGAAGAUCACACAAACACACCCAAAGAGGACGAGACCAAGAGGAAGCAGAGAAGAUGUCUGCAAUUCAUUUCCAAGCGUUCAGUCUCUCUACAUAUAUUUCACGUGGGUGAGCAAUAUGAGAUGGUUUCAGUCAUUUAAGUAUAAUAAAACACUCAAAGUUAAAUAGCCAUCCUCUUAUAACAACAGGUAAAUGGAGGCGUCUGAAAAGUGACUUAAGACAUAAGGGACAAUGGCCAUGUCUUUGUGGUGUCCUUCUAGCUCUGAGAGAGAGAGAGAAAAUAAAAGAGGGAUGAGAGAGAGAAUAAAAGAGGGAUGGAGAAUAAAAGAGGGACAGGGAGAGAAUAAAAGAGGGAAGAGAGAGAGCGAAUAAAACAAGAAUGAGUAGGAGAAUAAAAGAGUGAUGAAGAGUGAGAAUAAAAGAGGGAUGGGGAGAGAAUAGAGGUAUGGAGAAAGGGGGAGAAUAGAUGUGGGCGAGAUAAUAAAGGAGGGAUGGAGAGAGAGAAUAAGAGGGAUGAGCGAGAAAUAGGGAGAAUAAAAGAGGGAUGGAGAGGGAGCAAUAGAGUCCCAGCUGCUCAUUGCCAUGGCCGGACUACUGCUUUUGGGGCCCGGGGCACCGACCUCCAGGCGGGUCUCUUUUGAGAAACUGCAUUUCAACACAUUUUGUGUUGAAGAAAAAGCAGUUUUGUAAUAGUAUUCUACACAUUUCUCUACACAAGAGAAAAUUUUAGUUUUUCUGUUUUUAUAGCUCAUCUCAUGCUAUUGUUCAUAUUUUGCCAUGAGGCUGAGAGAAAGUUUUGAAAUUUUAUAGCUAAUUUUCUGCAAUUCUACACAUUUUGCUAUCUGGGUGGUGGCCCCUGACCUCCAUUCGGUAAUCCAGCCCUGCCUAUUGCUCUCCUCAUCUUUCCUCAUCUCGAAGCAGCAAACUGUCAGCCCGACUGUCAGCCCGACUCACCAUCAGGCCCUGUUUUCCCCGGUGAACAUUCAACGCUGUCGGUGAGUUUGAGUUAAAUUGACAAAAACCAUCGACCGUUGAGUGUACCCUGUGGCCAGCCCAACUCUCAAUGUGACCAGAGGAAGAAGGAAGAUGAACACUAUGGCCCUAUCUGCCUCUCCACCCCUCUGCAUCUACCCCCCUCCUAAACACACACACACACACACACACACACACAGAGAAACCAAUCCUCCAGCCUCUAACCACAGCAAAGGUCACAAUCAACAUUCAUUGCUGUCGGUGGGUUUAACUAAGUGGAAAAGCUCGCUGAACAAUGAAUGCUACUGUGUCCCCGAUUUCCACGCCAACCAAACGUCAGAGGGGAUAUCGUCCGGAUGUGCUGAUUAUUGUGCAUAUAUAUUAUGUAUUUCCCCCACAGGCUUGUAUGGAGAGUGUAAGUAGACAUAGCAUCAUAUAAAAUCUUGAUCAUGCUUGUUGGAGCUUUCUUAUGUGGCAAUGGGAGAAGGGGGAAUAAAAUGUAUAUAUCCAACCAUC